ACGUAGGGGGCGAGCGUUGUCCGGAAUCAUUGGGCGUAAAGCGCGUGUAGGCGGCCAUGCAAGUCCGAUGUGAAAGCUCGGGGCUCAACUCCGAGUCUGCAUUGGAAACUGCGUGGCUUGAGUCCGGAAGAGGAGACUGGAAUUCCUGGUGUGGGGGUGAAAGGCGCAGAUAUGAGGAAGAGCCGCGGUGGCGAAGGCGGGUCUCUGGGACGGUACUGAAGCUGAGACGCGUAAGGGUGUUGUGCUUGCAG
rnacentral:rRNA from 1 species